rnacentral:rRNA from 1 species
AAACUUUCAACAACGGAUCUCUUGGCUCUGGCAUCGAUGAAGAACGCAGCGAAACGCGAUAAGUAAUGUGAAUUGCAGAAUCCAGUGAAUCAUCGAAUCUUUGAACGCACAUUGCGCCCGCCAGCAUUCUGGCGGGCAUGCCUGUUCGAGCGUCAUUA